rnacentral:rRNA from 1 species
GACAGAGGGUGCAAACGUUGUUCGGAAUUACUGGGCGUAAAGCGCGUGUAGGCGGCUAUGCAAGUCGGAUGUGAAAGCCCUCGGCUCAACCGGGGAAGUGCACCCGAAACUGCAAAGCUAGAGUCUCGGAGAGGAUCGUGGAAUUCUCGGUGUAGAGGUGAAAUUCGUAGAUAUCGAGAGGAACACCCGUGGCUAAGGCGGCUCUCUAGUACGGUACUGACGCUGAGACGCGAAAGCGUGGGGAGCGAACAGG